CAAUGACUACAUAAAAUGCUACUGAGAUUGUGUAAUUUGAGGGGGGAAAAAAAAUAGAAGGUACCUUGGAAAACUAUCAAGCACUUGUUGAGAAAUUUGGAUUACAUACCAUUCCACAUCACUGAAGUUAAAUGCCAUUAAAUUCUGUUCUUUUUGUCUGUCAAAUAAAAUGAACAAAUGCA